CUGGUUAAAGUAUACAAUCAAUCAAGGUUCUCUAGUCAAAGGUAAGAACUUCUUCGUUUUGAACACGUGUAUACAUAAUGUAAAAGAAAUCCCAUUAGUCAUACAUUCUUAUCUACCAAACUGAUUAAUAGUUUAGUUAAUGUUCUAUUUAGACAAACUCAUGUUGCCUUUUAUGUAAACUAACAGCUAAAAGAAAAUAUAGUAGCAAAUAGCAAGGCCAUCAGUUUCAGGCAAUUGCAUAGCAGCUCGACCAGUAGAUCAUCAGAACCGGUUGCUAUCAUGGACAUGGAAGAUCAGUGUAAAGGUGACAUUGUCUUUGUUCAGAAGGAGAAGGACGAGCAUGCAACGAGGUAUCCGAACAAAGCUCGUGGAUUGAAGAAAAAGGAGGAGAAGAGUCGGAGUUGCAAGUCAAACAAUAGCUGGUUAACUGUGUUUUAUUGCUUUGAUCGUUUAUACCGUUACCUGUAGUCAGAAGCUUAAAACUCAGUGGUUCAUUUCUAGUGUUCAUGUGUUUUGCUUAUUAAUUUACAUUUUAAUUGCUUUUUCUUAAUAGUGUUCUUAUUCUCUAUAAAUAAAUAAAUUCAUUCCAGUUUUAUAAACGACGGAAAUUUCUGUUAUUGAAGACUUUUUUUUAUUCAAUUAAAAAUGGAGAUUCAAUUUUAGUUUAAAUGUACAAAUAUACUUUUUUGGUAUAUUUAUUUUUGUAAUAAAUCGUAGAGAAGUAUAUGGUUCUUUUUAAAAUUUUAAAACUCCAUCAAAUGGGGUGAGCUAAUUCGUCUUCGAACUUAACAAGAUUACUUUACAAGUUAUAAAAAAAAAUUAAAGAGAAAAUUUAAAAUUGUGAAGAAAAAAAAAGUUAG
rnacentral:lncRNA from 1 species